rnacentral:rRNA from 1 species
GUGGGGAAUCUUCCGCAAUGGACGAAAGUCUGACGGAGCGACGCCGCGUGAGUGAUGAAGGCCUUCGGGUCGUAAAGCUCUGUCAUCGGGGACGAACGGCCUCAGCAGGUAAUGGCUGGGGAUUGACGGUACCCGAGAAGGAAGCCACGGCUAACUACGUGCCAGCAGCCGCGGUAAUACGUAGGUGGCAAGCGUUGUCCGGAAUUAUUGGGCGUAAAGCGCGCGCAGGUGGGAUCUUAAGUCCAUUUUGAAAGUGCGGAGCUCAACUCCGUGAUGGGAUGGAAACUGGGAUUCUUGAGUACCGGAGAGGAAAGCGGAAUUCCCCGUGUAGCGGUGAAAUGCGUAGAUAUGGGGAGGAACACCAGUGGCGAAGGCGGCUUUCUGGACGGUGUCUGACACUGAGGCGCGAAAGCCAGGGGAGCGAACGGGAUUAGAAACCCGUGUAGUCC